rnacentral:lncRNA from 1 species
CGAGAAAAAGUCCUCUUUUUUAGGAAUUUAUGGUUGGCCUCCGCUAACGAACCGAUCAAAAGCGUUCAAAAAUCCCGAUUUCGGUUUCGGUUUCCUGUGCGUAGCGCCACCUGCUUCCUGCGGCAAGUGCAUGGCGGCUUCCUGUUUACAUUUUUGAACUCCGCAUGCUUUCAACUUCCAAGCUUGACGCUGUUGUUCAUGACAUUGUGAAAAAUAUAUGGAUAUAUAUGGGUGGUGAUGAUAUUUAGCAUCAUCCGGAAAGUCAAGCAUCUAUAUUUGGUCUACGACAAUUUGCCUACUGGUCAUCAAAGAUGCUGGAAUUUUUUCAAAACGCCAACUACACGUGCAAGCUUACUUUGAAGAUGUUCUGUGUGACUAUCCCAUAGCAUGAAUUCAUUAAAGUAGACUCCAAGCAUUCUGUGUUAGUAAUUUCUAUGGCAUUCCCUCCUAAGACCAUGUCCCGCAUUCAUCAAGGCAGGCAAUAAAAAAGCACUAAGGUUGGAGGUUUAGGUAAGGACUAAUCAUAUUAUUCAUACAACAUUAAAGGGGUACCCAAAUGCCUUCCCCAUGGCUACUGAUGUGUAAAGGCUCAUUCACACCUGCAACUAGCACCAGUCACGCAACAAUUUGCAAAUGGCGACCAAAAACGACUCUAGGUAAUCAAUGUUUACAUCUGCGUGCGACUUAUACCUAUUGCCACACAGAAUUCACGCCUGCUUGCAUUGCCAUUGCCCAUUAAAAUAAGCUGACAUUCUGUUCCUGCACAUCUGAUCGGCUCAGAAGUUUGCAACUGCACUGAAAAAUUGAGCAUCGAGCGACUGAGUCAAAGCAGACGCUUGGCGACCAAAGCAGCCAUUUGUUUGCGACUAACUUGGUCGCACAACCGUUGUUAGUUGCACGUGUAAAUGAGUGUUAACAUAGCAGGCCAUAUUUUCACAUUGCCGAAUUGACCCAUGUGCAUUAUCAAUUUCUUUCUGGCAGUCCUUUUACCUGGCUAACCACUGUCUUGGCAUAACUUGACAUGGUAUGUGUCUCCAUGCAUCGGAACUUUCUUUAAUAUUGUUGCCAACUCCAUGGAGAAAUAGCCUUGUUUAAAACAUUCAAGUUCAUGAGCAUCCGUGAAUAGUGCUGUACGUUCUCAAAUGUUGAAAAAUGCUAGCGAUUGUGCUGAAUUGUGUGGCAAGUCCUGCAUAAAUAUUUGACACAUUUGCCCUGUAGAUUAUAAUGAAAUCGUUGUGUUCUCUGCUAUUGCUGUGGUCUGGUGUGUGCUCUUGUAGCUGUGUAGGAAUCGCGUGCGAUGCAAGAAUGGUGGAAACACGAGGUCGGCUAGUGAUGGUACAUGUUUGCACAUAAGGUUCCUAAGUCACAUCACAUUCUCUCUUUUUUUUUUUUUUGGCCUGGAAAUAAGUCUCCACAAGCCUAUGUCAAGGCUGUCCGCAACUUCCCACUAUUCAAUGACUUAGUCAAUGAAUACAUUCUUGGACCCAACCUCAUAGCCUUCCAGUGUGGAGCUCCUUAUACUAUUCAGUGAGCAUCUGCAGAACAAUAAUAGCCUAUCUAAUGAAAUUAACUGGUCAUCAGAAGCCUAGGCCACCUACUGAUAAUUGUCUAUUUCACAUGUAAAAAGAACAAUUAUUACAUCCAGUCACAAUUAUCAAUCGUUUCGCAUCUACAGGUGUGACCUAAAGCCCCUCCAUGCGCUUUCCGCCGGCUAGGUUAUGUAGUGCCAACCCAUCCUCCCCCUCUCCCUUUACAUCGGUACCCCACCCAGCGGAAGCAAGUGCUGCCAUUAUGUUUCUGCUGCUUUUCCGGUUGGUGCACCCACCCCAUGCCCGCCCAUGC